rnacentral:rRNA from 1 species
GGAGGGUGCGAGCGUUGUCCGGAAUCACUCGGCGUAAAGGGCGCGUAGGUGGCCCGUUAAGUGGCUGGUGAAAUCCCGGGGCUCAACUCCGGGGCUGCCGGUCAGACUGGCGAGAUAGAGCACGGUAGGGGCAGAUGGAAUUCCCGGUGUAGCGGUGGAAUGCGUAGAUAUCGGGAAGAAUACCAGUGGCGAAGGCGUUCUGCUGGGCCGUUGCUGACACUGAGGCGCGACAGCGUGGGGAGCAAACAGGAUUAGAUACCCUGGUAGUCCACGCCGUAAACGAUGGACACUAGGCGUCGGGGGGAGCGACCCUCCCGGUGCCGUCGCUAACGCAGUAAGUGUCCCGCCUGGGGAGUACGGCCGCAAGGCUG